rnacentral:rRNA from 1 species
GACGAACGCUGGCGGCGUGCCUAAUACAUGCAAGUAGAACGCUGAAGGAGGAGCUUGCUUCUCUGGAUGAGUUGCGAACGGGUGAGUAACGCGUAGGUAACCUGCCUGGUAGCGGGGGAUAACUAUUGGAAACGAUAGCUAAUACCGCAUAAUAGCAGUUAUUGCAUGAUAACUGUUUGAAAGGUGCAAUUGCACCACUACCAGAUGGACCUGCGUUGUAUUAGCUAGUUGGUGGGGUAACGGCUCACCAAGGCGACGAUACAUAGCCGACCUGAGAGGGUGAUCGGCCACACUGGGACUGAGACACGGCCCAGACUCCUACGGGAGGCAGCAGUAGGGAAUCUUCGGCAAUGGACGGAAGUCUGACCGAGCAACGCCGCGUGAGUGAAGAAGGUUUUCGGAUCGUAAAGCUCUGUUGUAAGAGAAGAACGAGUGUGAGAGUGGAAAGUUCACACUGUGGCGGUAUCUUACCAGAAAGGGACGGCUAACUACGUG